rnacentral:rRNA from 1 species
UCCUGGCUCAGGAUGAACGCUGGCGGCGUGCUUAACACAUGCAAGUUGCGCGGUGAUCUCAAGAAGUUUCGGACGGAAAGGGAGAGCAGCAGCGGACGGGUGAGUAAAGCACAAGGACUUGUCCCGAAGAGGGGGACAACUGUGGGAAACCACAGCUAAUACCCCAUAAGCCGAGAGGUGAAAGCAGUAAUGCGCUUUAGGAGAGACUUGUGUCCUAUCAGGUAGUUGGUGAGGUAACGGCUCACCAAGCCGAAGACGGGUAGCCGGACUGAGAGGUUGUACGGCCACAUUGGAACUGAGAGACGGUCCAGACUCCUACGGGAGGCAGCAGUGGGGAAUAUUGGGCAAUGGGGGCAACCCUGACCCAGCGACGCCGCGUGAGGGAAGACAGCCUUCGGGUUGUAAACCUCUGUUGCAGGGGAAGAAGAAAGUGACGGUACCCUGCGAGGAAGCUCCGGCAAACUACGUGCCAGCCGCCGC